CUCCGGGAGUCGCGGGGCGCGGAGCUUUCCUGAUGUGUCACCAGCACGUGGAGCCAGCUCCGGCAGAUCGAGCGAACGGGCAGAACUCACCCAACUUUCGAGGGGUCUCGGCACCUCGCUCCUCUCCCUGCUGUGCCGAGCUGGUGCUUCUUAGGACAGGGGCGGCGACGGCCCCUAGGUCCCAGGCAGGUUGAGCGGGGAGCUCGCCCAGCGCGCGCGCGGGGCGCCCAGGACGUCGGGGCGCAGGGCCCGGCUCGCAGCGACUUCUCUGACUCCCUGGAGGCGGAGCGGCCCAGCUUUGCCCUGGCCCUGCGCCCCGAGGAUAUGAGCGCAGGAGAAGGAGCGAGGCCAAGGAGAUCAGGAGACUCACCAGAGGACACUCAGCUAGGAUGUGGCAGAGCCGGCGUUUAGAUCUGCAGCUUCCAACUCCCAAGAGGCAGGGCCCUGUGACAUCGCAGAAAAGCAGCCUUGGACCUGCAAUGAAUUUGGGGCUUGUCCCUGAUGACCUGGCGACUGCAGAGUUGCCAAGUUGACAGAAGUUGCCAAGCUUGGAACUGCUGGUGGCCAUCCUGUUGUCUACUUGAGGAGAAAGCCAACGAGGAGCAAAGAGAGCUGAGAAAGAGCAAGUCCAGACAUCAGUCAGCCCCUGGAUCGAGCCAUACCUGACGCCAACCGCCCCCUGGACUAACCUGAUCCUAUGAGUCAAUGCAGUUUUUUUCCCCUAACAUUAUCCAGAGUAGGGUCUCUGUCACAGAGUCCUAGCAAAGACAAUGUUUUUCUUUGAUCUCACUUUUAAAAAAUCAACUUUGAGGUAUACUUUACAUACAAUAGAAUCCUCCCAUUUUCAGUGUUCCAUUCAUAAGUUUUUGUUAAAUAUGUACACCCUUGUAACUACCACCGCCAUCAAUUACAUUUCAAGGUCCCUCCUUCCCCUUUAUGGCCCAUUUCUCCAACCCAGACAACCACUGACCUGCCUUUGUUCUAAGAUUCAUUUUGCCUUUUCUAGAAUUCUAUGUAAAUAUCGCAUAAUAUAUGCUGUUUUGUGUCUGGCUUCUUUGAUCCAACAUGAUUUUGAGGUCUAUUCCUGUUUUGUAUGCACCAAUAGUUCAUUUCAUUGCCAAGUAGUGUCCUAUUGUAUGGACGUACCAGUUUGUUUACCCAUUU